CAUAGUUUAUAUUCAACAUUUAACCGUUUUAUUUAAAAAAAUUUUAUGAUUAGUAUUUUUGCUGUUAUUACAUAAUAAAACAUGUAUAGUAUUUUACGUGUGACUGUUUUUUUAAUUUUUUUUUCAUAAAUUUUUUAAAUAAAAUAAACGAUUAAAUGUUGAACACGAAAACUCAUAACUGCACUUAAA
rfam:Oryza sativa (indica cultivar-group) chromosome 12, whole genome shotgun sequence.